rnacentral:rRNA from 1 species
AGUGUACGCUGGCGGUAGGCCUAACACAUGCAAGUCGAACGGCAGCACAGUAAGAGCUUGCUCUUACGGGUGGCGAGUGGCGGACGGGUGAGGAAUACAUCGGAAUCUACUUUUUCGUGGGGGAUAACGUAGGGAAACUUACGCUAAUACCGCAUACGACCUACGGGUGAAAGCAGUGGAUCUUCGGACCUUGCGCGAUUGAAUGAGCCGAUGUCGGAUUAGCUAGUUGGCGGGGUAAAGGCCCACCAAGGCGACGAUCCGUAGCUGGUCUGAGAGGAUGAUCAGCCACACUGGAACUGAGACACGGUCCAGACUCCUACGGGAGGCAGCAGUGGGGAAUAUUGGACAAUGGGCGCAAGCCUGAUCCAGCCAUACCGCGUGGGUGAAGAAGGCCUUCGGGUUGUAAAGCCCUUUUGUUGGGAAAGAAAAGCAGCAGGUUAAUACCCCGCUGUUCUGACGGUACCCAAAGAAUAAGCACCGGCUAACUUCGUG